rnacentral:rRNA from 1 species
UCAGGAUGAACGCUGGCGGCGUGCCUAACACAUGCAAGUCGAGCGGGAGUUUCCUAGAUUGAAGCUUCGGUAGAUUGAAGGAAAUGAGAGCGGCGGACGGGUGAGUAACGCGUAGGCAACCUGCCCUUUGCAGAGGGAUAGCCAUUGGAAACGAUGAUUAAAACCUCAUAAUACCACCUGGUGACAUCACCGGAUGGUCAAAGAUUUAUCGGCAAAGGAUGGACCCGCGUCUGAUUAGCUAGUUGGUGGGGUAACGGCCUACCAAGGCAACGAUCAGUAGCCGGCCUGAGAGGGUGAACGGCCACAUUGGGACUGAGACACGGCCCAAACUCCUACGGGAGGCAGCAGUGGGGAAUAUUGCACAAUGGGGGAAACCCUGAUGCAGCGACGCCGCGUGAGUGAAGAAGUAUUUCGGUAUGUAAAGCUCUAUCAGCAGGGAAGAAAAUGACGGUACCUGACUAAGAAGCACCGGCUAAAUACGUG